UUACAAUAUCUCUUAUUUGGUUCUUUGCUCCAUCAAUUUGCAGGGUUGAGAAGUCCUCGUAAGAGUUUAUUGAAGUGGGUUUUCCUGCAUUUGGAUGGCUCUUUAAUUGCAUUAGAAUUAUCAAAAUCAGGUGGAACCUUGAGCCAUUUCAUCCUUUACACUCACCUUUUCAUUCAGCGAAGAGCGUUGCGGAGGAAGUCACAAAAAGCAUAGUUACCGGAUGAUGAUCAAGAGAGAAGAUGCUGAGGAAUUUGGAGAAGAGGGAGACUAAACUUAUGAAUUGCAGAGGCAUAGAAUUGGAAUGUAUGACUUUGAAUUGUUGACAGUCAUUGGUGAAGGCACAUUCGGGGAGGGUCUUCAGAUUGGAGAAAAGAUGAAGGUAUGAUAUAUAUUCGUCUUGCCGUAAUCUCUAAUUACCAAAGAUGUCGUGAAUAUACUGGGAGGAGGCUGACCAACAAUAGUUGGACAUAUGCUCUAAUUAUCUCUAAUUAGCGAAGAUGUUGUGACAAGCAUAUGUCCAACUAUCUUUUCUAUGGCUGCAGAUUUAUCCUUCACAAAAUAACACACAAUAUGCGCUCUUUCCUCUGUAUUUAUUUCAGUGUUUCCGUUAU